rnacentral:rRNA from 1 species
UACGGGGGGGGCAAGCGUUGUUCGGAAUUACUGGGCGUAAAGGGCGUGUAGGCGGUUUGUUAAGUCUGGCGUGAAAGCUCUCGGCUAAACCGGGAGAGGUCGUUGGAUACUGGCGAACUAGAGGAUGGUAGAGGCGUGUGGAAUUCCGGGUGUAGUGGUGAAAUGCGUAGAGAUCCGGAGGAACACCAGUGGCGAAGGCGACACGCUGGGCCAUACCUGACGCUAAAGCGCGACAGCAUGGGGAGCAAACGGG